UUAAUUGGUUGCACAAAGACCAAGCCAGGAUGAGCAGACACGGAUUCAUUAAGCCAGGUGAAACCAAUCCUGGAUAGGUGCGCGCUCACGGCUCACUCAAAUAGACCCCGCCACAGAUCACAGAUUAACUGAUUUACCAUGGCAACUAGAGCCGCGUACUUUUCCCCGUCGGAAGCACAAAUCCUCAUGGAGGCAUACGAGGAGGUAAAAGAUAUAAUUAAGAAGAAAGGCAACACCGCCACAGUGAUAAAGCAAAGAGAAAAAGCGUGGCAAAGUAUUGCAGACCGCCUGAAUGCAUUAAACAUGAACGGGCCAAAACGGACAUGGCAGCAGGUCAAAAUCAAAUACAAGAACAUUCUGCAGAAUGCAGUGAAAAAGAAUACCCACAGACAAGGCACGGGUGGUGGGUCACCAAAGGCUGACCUUACCCCAGCAGAGGACAUGGCCUUGGAGCUAAAUAAAGGCAGGCCCGUCUUUUAGGGGAUCCCUGGGGGGAAAGAGACGAGCAUAGGUUCCUCCCAAGAUGCCACCCGCUUCAUUCAAGUGCCUGGCAGCACUGUGUUCCUGUUAGAGCCACCAGCACAAGCACCAGACGAUGCUGAUCCAGGUGAAGGCCCCAGUGCAGCAGCAACAGCACAUGAUGGAGACGAUGAUGAGGAGGAGACAGAAGGCAUGAGGUAUCAUGUUAAGACUGUGAAAGUACUAUUUACUCUACAAUGGUGAGGAGUCCUCAUCAAAAUCAAAAAAUUUAAUUUCUUUUACAGGACCCAGAUGCUAUACAGUGGGAAAACCAGCCUGGCAACAUAGUGCGUAUUAAUAAAAGGACACCACAUCCUGCCAAAUUCCAGCUGCGCUAAUUGUAUUGUGUUCACAGAGCUCACAAGCUAUCAGAAAGUUGUAUGGCAACCACCUCCGGCGCCAAAUAGAACUGGCAGACAUAGACAUUCAGUACAAGAAGAAAAAGAUGGAAAAUCUUGCACUGGAGUCCGAAAUAAAAAAGAGGACAAUUAGGAAACUGGACCUUGAAAUAAAAAAACUUGAGAGGGAGCUCCAAGAAGAUGACACAGCUCAAAAUAAAAAUUAGGUAUAUUCUCGUAAAGUCAAGUGAGCCAUGACAUAUGAGCUCUUAUUGUGAGCACACAGGACGGUGGCAUCUUUCUAAGUUUUUUUUUAUUUUCCCAGCA